rnacentral:tRNA from 1 species
CAGAGAGUAGUUUAAUGUAAAAUGCCAGCUUUGGGAGUUGGUGAUGAAGGUUUGAUUCCUUUCUUUCUGA